rnacentral:rRNA from 1 species
AAUGAACGCUAGCGGUAGGCCUAACACAUGCAAGUUGAACGCAUACUUUUACAGUAUAAGUAGCAAACGGGUGAGUAACGCGUGAGAAAUCUACCUUACAAUCUGGGAUAAAAUCCCGGAUUCUUUCUAAACUAGAUGUUCCGACAAAUAGUAUAGAAUAAAAGAUUAAAUGUCGUUGUAAGAUGUGCUCGCGUAGGAUUAGGUAGUUGGUGAGGUAAAAGCUACACCAAGCCGAAGAUCCUUAGCUGGUCUGAGAGGAUGAUCAGCCACACUGGGACUGAGACACGGCCCAGACGCUUUCGAGCGGCAGCAGUGAGGAAUUUUGGACAAUGGGCGAAAGCCUGAUCCAGCCACAUCGCAUGAGUGAAGAAGGCUCAAUUGGUUGUAAAGCUCUGAUUUGAUUGAAGAUUAUGACAUAAGAUCAAAGAAGAGUCCCGGCUAACUUCGUG